AAAUUGAAGAGUUUGAUCAUGGCUCAGAUUGAACGCUGGCGGCAGGCCUAACACAUGCAAGUCGAACGGUAACAGGAAGCAGCUUGCUGCUUUGCUGACGAGUGGCGGACGGGUGAGUAAUGUCUGGGAAACUGCCUGAUGGAGGGGGAUAACUACUGGAAACGGUGGCUAAUACCGCAUAACGUCGCAAGACCAAAGAGGGGGACCUUCGGGCCUCUUGCCAUCAGAUGUGCCCAGAUGGGAUUAGCUUGUUGGUGAGGUAACGGCUCACCAAGGCGACGAUCCCUAGCUGGUCUGAGAGGAUGACCAGCCACACUGGAACUGAGACACGGUCCAG
rnacentral:rRNA from 2 species